UCCGGUUGAUCCUGCCRGACCCGACUGCUAUCAGAGUGAGACUAAGCCAUGCGAGUUAACGUAUGAAUAAUACGUGGCACACGGCUCAGUAACACGUAGUCAACAUGCCCAGAGGACGUGGAUAACCUCGGGAAACUGAGGAUAAACCACGAUAGGCCAUAAUUACUGGAAUGGGUUAUGGCUUAAAUCUAUAUGGCCUCUGGAUUGGACUGCGGCCGAUCAGGCUGUUGGUGAGGUAAUGGCCCACCAAACCUGUUACCGGUACGGGCUCUGAGAGGAGGAGCCCGGAGAUGGGCACUGAGACAAGGGCCCAGGCCCUAUGGGGCGCAGCAGGCGCGAAACCUCUGCAAUAGGCGAAAGCUUGACAGGGUUACUCUGAGUGAUUUCCGUUAAGGAGAUCUUUUGGCACCUCUAAAAAUGGUGCAGAAUAAGGGGUGGGCAAGUCUGGUGUCAGCCGCCGCGGUAAUACCAGCACCCCGAGUGGUCGGGACGUUUAUUGGGCCUAAAGCAUCCGUAGCCGGUUCUACAAGUCUUCCGUUAAAUCCACCUGCUUAACAGAUGGGCUGCGGAAGAUACUAUAGAGCUAGGAGGCGGGAGAGGCAAGCGGUACUCGAUGGGUAGGGGUAAAAUCCGUUGAUCCAUUGAAGACCACCAGUGGCGAAGGCGGCUUGCCAGAACGCGCUCGACGGUGAGGGAUGAAAGCUGGGGGAGCAAACCGGAUUAGAUACCCGGGUAGUCCCAGCUGUAAACGAUGCAGACUCGGUGAUGAGUUGGCUUAUUGCUAACUCAGUGCCGCAGGGAAGCCGUUAAGUUUGCCGCCUGGGGAGUACGGUCGCAAGACUGAAACUUAAAGGAAUUGGCGGGGGAGCACCACAAGGGGUGAAGCCUGCGGUUCAAUUGGAKUCAACGCCGGRA
rnacentral:rRNA from 1 species